rnacentral:misc_RNA from 1 species
AACGCACAUUGCGCCCCUUGGUAUUCCAUGGGGCAUGCCUGUUCGAGCGUCAUUUGUACCCUCAAGCACUGCUUGGUGUUGGGUGUAUGUUUUCCUUGCGCUUGCGUAAGUGAGGACUCGCCUUAAAACAAUUGGCAGCCGGCAUAUUGGCCUGGAGCGCAGCACAUUUUGCGCCUCUUGUCAUGAUUGUUGGCAUCCAUCAAGACCUUUUAUUAGCUCUUGACCUCGGAUCAGGUAGGGAUACCCGCUGAACUUAA